UGGCUCAGUUAGUGGAGCACAUGACUCUUGAUCUUGGGGUUGUGAGUUCAAGUCCCAC
rnacentral:tRNA from 1 species